rnacentral:tRNA from 1 species
GUUUUAAUAGUUUAUUCAAAAUAGUGAUUUUGUAAUUCACAGUUAGCUCUGCUUUAAAACU